UCUCCCAGGACAUCCCUUUCCCAAAGAAGGCAACCAAGUAUCGGCAGUGAGCAAGCUAAAAAUCACAUUUAUCCCAGUUUGUCAUCCUGCAUCAUACAAUCUGACUCUUUGAAUACUUCUGUACCUCCACUGGUCUUGCUUCAAUCAACCAAUAUACUUCCUGUGCUGGAGAUUCCAGAACCAUACAGAGCACACUAGAUGUAUCCUCACAAGUGCCAAGUAAAUAGAAGGGGGAAGCUGACAACUUUCCAUCCAUUGGUUCAGAAGAGUCUUGCUAACAUAAUGCAAUAAGUGGUCCGUAUUGAUAUCAUUUGUAGAAUUAUUUGCAUAACUGGUAUUAUUUCCUUCUCCCCAUUUCUGACUAUUUGCCAAAUACAUUUAACACAGAGGUUCAAAUAGAAAUGCAGAUUGAUGUUUGUGUAAAAAUUCCUACUGUGGAGAGGAGAAAGUGGCUGAAGUGGUUUUCACGUCAGCUGUUGUGUCAUAGACAUAAGAGGCACGUAAGAGUUAAAUUGGGAAAAAGACAAAACUCAUCAAUUAAAAGUAUUUUGUCACCUACACUCUGCUUCAGUGAGAAGGACUGCCACUGGUUUUAAACUGUCAUCUGAUGAAGAAACUCACACUUCAUACUCUGGUCUCAGCAGAACGUGAUGUCUCUCCUGCCAGUCACUGCUGGCCAAAGUAUGCCUUCGUUGUUCUGUGCAGACCAAGGCUGUCUACACUGGGAAGACAGAAAGGGUGUAGGAAAAAAAUUAAUAACAUUUUGGUAGCUGAGAUGUCUUUUUUUUGGAAGACUGUUCAGCCACAGCGUGGAUUUUACUUCACCAACGUUUUUGUCCCAAAGAGCAGAAAAAAAUUGACUCUAUAAACUUAUAUUUCAAAUAAAAGUGUUCCAUAGUUGUUUUUGCCUCCGUGACUCAGAUUAAGUGACAGAUUUUCCCAUUUAUUUUCCUUUUUUCCCUUUCAUUUCUCUCUCUUUUUUUCCCUUUCCUUUUUCCCUUCCCCUUUCCUCCCAUCCUCUUUGUUCCUCUCCCCUACCCCUCCCCUCUCCAUUCCUUCCCUUCCCCCUUCCCUUCCUCUUUCCCUUUCCCUUUCCUCUCUUGCUGCCGUAAAUGGCUUUUAUCACAAUGACUGCAAGCUUUUCUCAAAAGCCUUCACAAUCUGGCAGACUAAAAGAGAGUACUUUCCUUAGGACAAUGAAGAUGCCCUAUUCCACCCUGACCAUCACAUAUGCAAUUUGAACAAAAAAUGUUGAUUAAAAGCUUGCCUAACAGUCACAAAAUCUGGAUUUAUUUUAUUUUAAGGACAGAAGCAUCUCUGUAUCAGAAUAAAAAAGAACUCUCAUCUAAUUCUCAAUGAAUUAGAGUUGGCAGACUUCUGUGUCUAGUGCUAACUUAUGGCAUUCAGUGCUAAGAUGUAGCUCCUUGAAACCAUUAUAAUAAAUUAAUGCCACUGUCAGAAGCUGAAGAUAUCAAGCUAGAGAAAAAAAUAUAUUAUGAACUCUUAAAUUUUGUGUUGUAAAAAGAAUUUCAUUCUUGGCAACUUGACAGUAAAAAUAGACAAAACCAAUAUUUUAGGAUGUUGUGCCAAAUACUGUGUGUGAAAGCCUGCAAGUGUCUUGCAUUAAACUGUGAGUUAUAGUUUGUGUGUCUUGAGGAGUGAAAAAUGACAUAUAUCUUGAAGCCCUUAGGACAUUCAAGCUAUAUAUUGCUCUUUUUUUUGAAUGACAAUGUGGUCAAACUCUUUAGCUAGGAACACGUUUGUAUGCUUUUAUUUUUUCAGUUGUCUUUUAUGUAUGAUAUAAAGUUGCUAUUAAUUUAAAAACUGUCAGUCACAGAAUAUGAGAAGGGAAGACCAACUGAAACAAGCACUUAACUGAAAUUGGUACCCUCAGACAAGUAUUAAUUUGGUAUACCUAAUUAUCAUUUUUCCCACAUGAAAUAAUGUCAGGAACAU
ensembl:lncRNA